rnacentral:rRNA from 1 species
AUUGAACGCUGGCGGCAGGCCUAACACAUGCAAGUCGAGCGAGCGGCGGACGGGUGAGUAAUGUCUGUGCAACUGCCUGAUGUAGGGGGAUAACUACUGGAAACGGUAGCUCAUACCCCAUAUCAUCUGAUGUGCCCAGAUGUGAUUAGCUAGUAGGUGGGGGAACGGCUCACCUAGGCGACGAUCCCUCGCUGGUCUGAGAGGAUGACCAGCAACACUGGAACUGAGACACGGUCCAGACUCCGACGGGAGGCAGCAGUGGGGAAUAUUGCACAAUGGGCGCAAGCCUGAUGCAGCCAUGCCGCGUGUGUGAAGAAGGCCUUCGGGUUGUAAAGCACUUUCAGCGGGGAGGCGUUACCCGCAGAAGAAGCACCGGCUAACUCCGUGCCAGCCGCCGCGGUAAUAC